AUGCAAGUCCUGCACGAGCUCGUCCACAUCGUCGCCAAGACCAUCAAGAUCGUCAAGCUCCAUGCAACCCAUUUCAUGGCAAUGGUUUACAGGACCACCUCCGGGAAUGUGAAUGACUACGUCGACAAGCUAAUGAUCCUCCGGUCCAGGAGCAAUCUCCAAUAUGCCAAGAUCAACAAGAACAUCAAGAUGGCGAUGCCUUUUGACAAGAGCAAAAACGCCAUGAGGAACAACCCCUUGAAGCACAACGUGCCCUUAGUGAAGCAACCCAAGCCGUCCGUGCAUGCAACUAGGAACAAAGACGAGGCCAUCUGCCGAGAGCGCCAAGAAGAAGCGACACGUCUUGAGGAGCACCAAGAAAUGAGGAACCAUGCAAGAAUUCCACUACCUCAAUGA
rnacentral:rRNA from 1 species